UACGAAGGGGGGCUAGCGUUGCUCGGAAUCACUGGGCGUAAAGCGCACGUAGGCGGAUCUUUAAGUCAGGGGUGAAAUCCUGGAGCUCAACUCCAGAACUGCCUUUUGAUACUGGGGAUCUCGAGUCCGGAAGAGGUGAGUGGAACUCCGAGUGUAGAGGUGAAAUUCGUAGAUAUUCGGAAGAACACCAGUGGCGAAGGCGGCUCACUGGUCCGGUACUGACGCUGAGGUGCGAAAGCGUGGGGGAGCAAACAGG
rnacentral:rRNA from 1 species